rnacentral:rRNA from 1 species
CUACGGGUGGCUCCAGUGGGGAAUAUUGCACAAUGGGGGAAACCCUGAUGCAGCAACGCCGCGUGGAGGAUGACGCAUUUCGGUGUGUAAACUCCUUUUAUAUGUCAAGAAAAUGACGGUAGCAUAUGAAUAAGCACCGGCUAACUCCGUGCCAGCAGCCGCGGUAAUACGGAGGGUGCAAGCGUUACUCGGAAUCACUGGGCGUAAAGGACGCGUAGGCGGGUUGGAAAGUCAGGUGUGAAAUCCUACAGCUUAACUGUAGAACUGCACUUGAAACUUCUAAUCUAGAGUAUGGGAGGGGGAGAUGGAAUUAGUGGUGUAGGGGUAAAAUCCGUAGAUAUCACUAGGAAUACCUAAAGCGAAGGCGAUCUCCUGGAACAUUACUGACGCUAAGGCGUGAAAGCGUGGGGAGCAAACAGGAUUAGAUACCCCAGUAGUC